CUAAAUCUAAAAUUAAGUGAAAAUUGUAGUUUUGUUAAUAUUUUAACUCUACAAAGUUAAGUUUGUAAGUUCUUCCUUUUGAAUCGUUGAUAACUUGAAAAUUAUUGGUGUCUUGACACUUUCACUGAGGAAAAAUCAUCUCCAAAUUAUUAUAGGCAGAGAAUUUUAUGAUAUGCUGCAUAUAUAUUUGUUCAGUUACAUCAAAUUCGAUUUUUUGGAUAGAUUUUUGGAUGAUAGAAAAUAUACUUACAAGUUUGAUUUAAAAAAAUCUUGUUGAUAAGCUUGAUCUAAAAUUCAUUAAUUAUAACUGUUCUAGAUUCAAUUACUUUACAAGUACAAUAUGAAAUAUUAUUUCUUAUGAGUUUUAUUAUUUCUGAAACCUAGAAUUUGAUUGUUGGAUUCGACUCGGAUUUUUAAAUACAUAUUGAACUUGAUCAUUUCAUCCCUAUCUCGGUGGCAUAAAGUAAAGCGAUGUAACGUCGCCGUCGACACGUUUACUUGUUGCAUCGCAAAACUUCGCUAACCGAAAUUUCUCACACUUUCUCUCUCUCUCUCUCUCUCUUUCUCUCGCGGGCGCACAGUUCUAUAAAUUCACAAUAACUCGUGGAAUUAGCGCAAAUCCCGCCGUCGAUGUCGCAACGUAUCCAUAAUUAUACGCGAAAUCUCAGUGGGAAUUAGACACAACAGUGCGAUAUACAAUCGAGGUACGUGUUUUUGACAAAACAUCUUCGCGAUAAUGCAGGUUAAAUAGCGUAGUCGGAUAUCAGCAAGUUGAAGUAAAAUUACAGCGCACGUGAUGACGACUGGUUAUAACUUGAAGUGUUACAAUUCAAAUAGCAUUUGCUUGUGUUUACCGACGUUUCUAAGAAGCUUCGCUCGUAUUAUCUCGAAACAUUUGCGCAAUCUUAUACUUAUUAGUUCUGUCAUCUUGAAUAUUUUUUUUAUCUAUGGCUUCUCCUUUCAAUGGUACAACUUUUCCAAUAACGCUUGGAAUAUCAACGCCUCGAUAACAAGCAACAUCGUAUCCCGAGAGUUGCAUAAAAUGGUAGGAAGAGUAGAAAGAAUAGCAAAAAGAGUAAGAAGGAAAUGUUUUUUUGUUGCGUACAAAUGUGUAAUGAUAUUCGUGUCUUCAGACAGGAUCUAUAGAAUAGGAUUGUCCUCGUUCUGGAUUUAUUAUUGCAAUUACAACAAACGGCUACGCUUCUCUUUGAAGUCUUUAUCAUCAAGUAAGGAAAGCACUUGAGAGAGGAGACACAGUUAUCAAAACUCGCGACGGAGAAGCCAAUGGAGAAACAAAUUUACUGAAUUACUUUUAGACGCAAAUGCCCUUUGAAGUCGGAAAGCGGUCUUAUUUUACAGUUACAAGAAGAAAGCUCGCGGAACUUUACGGAUAAUAGUGCUACGCUAGCUAUAACAGUGGCAAUAUCUCUAUUUACCAUUGCUUAUUACUAUCUCAUAUUAAACCAUAUUAAACAAUCGUGUUGUUUUAUUUGGAGUUUUUAGAAAAUACACGAAUUUCCAGAAACUCAUAUCUGUCCACAUCGCAUAUAAUCGCAUAAGUUUCUCUUGAAAAACUUCAAACUUCUCCAAGUCCUCCACAAUUCUUCGCUCAUUUUGCUCCGCGAUCAUGAUGAUUGCACAAUUCGUUCCUUUCCUUCCAGCAUCAACAAAAAUGUCAAUUUCUACCUAUUGCAAACGCAAUUAUUUAAAACGUGUUUCCAAGUGGCGACUUCUACAUAUUUCGAAUACGUAAACAUUCGGUACUUCGCAGUUCGUGCAGUUCUGUCACUACGAUUGAACAUAGGAAUCUAUCCCGAGUGACCCGAGAAGGAAAUUCAAGCGAGAAACUUCAUCCACGUUCGGAAGCGUCGCAGUGUUUUCAACCGAGGAGGAAACGUCUAUCGAUCAGCCUCGACCCGAAAAGACAAUGAACAUAAAAAGCGGCUUGGAUAUAACAAGGAUAAUACAUGAUGCAAUCGGCGAUCAUUUAUUGAUAAGAUCUAGACGACUCAUACUUCUUUUCUUCUUCAUCUACCAGGAAACAUAUGGGAUAUGUUUAAUAAUAAUAAUAACAAAACUUUUAUUUAGUUACCAAGGAUGUUUGAGCAAAUUUAAAGUAUUUUAGGGAUGCUGAAUGCAAAUAUGACAGUUUUGCUCAAUUGGCUAUAGUUUUUGACGCAAUGGAUACUCAAAUUACGAUUUUAACCCAAAUAUUGUACAACCUGUAGCUGCUAACAUAUGCAGCACAGUUUAAUCUGUCUUUUUAUUCUUUAACAUUGUUUCUAUCACCAAAUAGCAUUUUUCUAUGCAUUAAUUGUGAUUAUCUGAAUCAAUGUAUUUUAUUUUACUGAAUACAGCAUUUCAUAUAUUGUAUAAA